rfam:Brassica oleracea var. oleracea cultivar TO1000 chromosome C4, whole genome shotgun sequence
GGAAGUUAAGAAACUGUUUCUUAAUUUUAACUAAAAAAGAUUAGAACCGGUUCUUAAAUAAGGAUUUUAAGAACUGGUUCUUAGUUUUUUUAAUUAAAAGUUAGGAAACAAUUUCUUAACUUCC